ensembl:lncRNA
GUAAAUAAGUACUAGAUACACCUCCACUUAGGUGACCAUCUGCCAUCUCAAGAAAUGAAAGUGUUAGGUGCAAUGAAUCUUGCGCCUUUAUUUAUUUUGAAAAUUCUACACUCCUAGACAAAAUAAGUACUUGUACUGUUUAGAAAAAAAUAGAUCAUAUGCUCAUUAAAAUUUUUUCUCAAAGUAAAAUGACCCUGAAAAGAAAUAAAGCUGUCAUGUGGGAAAAUGGUGGGUAAGAGGCUCUAAGAUCUAUUGUUGCAUGUCUAAAUUUCAACAUUGCCCAUGUGUAGGCUGAUGAUCCUUAAAUUCAUGUUUUUCCAGGACUGGAAACCCCACCCUAAGUGAGGUAGCAGAUCCUUGCAGGAUGCACUGCCUGGGUGUGACUCUCCUGCCACAGUUAACUCCGUUGCAAAGGGCAAAAAGCAGAACCAUUUCCUGGGUUGGGGACAGGGCGCUCUCACCGUUUCAAGGACUGCUUAAGAAAUGUGCAUUUUUCAUCCUAAAACAACUAGAGUCUAGAAAUAAUUGGAAUGUGAAUUUCACUGGCCUGCCUGACUUGACUGAUGAUGUGGGGUGGAAGAAUAUUGCUUAUUAUUAUGAAAUUGAACAUAGUCAAGCUAAAUCCAAAGAUGCCCAAGGAAGAAGGGAAAUGCAGAAAUUAUGUCACUUUUAGCACUUCUUUGGAAAAUCUUUGAUAGGAGGUACCAGAGCACUAAGGAUUACAAGAGAAACUCAGAUUCCAGGAGAACAAAGUGGGUAAAUCAAUGUUCCCAAAUGUCAGUGAUGGAGCAAGGAUUUUAUUUAUUUGUUAUUUAUGUUUCU